ensembl:lncRNA
GGGGCCGCCGGAGUGUGUGGCUCAGGAGUGUGGUCAGUAGCGUCUCGACUGUGGAGAAGGAAAGGCUCGGUGUCGCAAAGGCUACAGGUUCUGGAGUUAUGGACAGAGGAACUUCUGGAUCCCUCUUUUCCUGCCAUUCCUUCUCUAGAAGAGUACAGAAGCUUGUACUUAAACCAACUCACCUCCCAGAGCAACAGCCUGGUUUUCAGUUAUUAAAAGUCACACUGACCUAUAGGAGCCACCAGGUCCUUGUGCUGCAGGGACAUGCCAAACUCCUGAGGGCAGGAGGUGGUGAGCUGAAGAAGUCUUCUUCAGAGGUGGCAGCAAUUCCCUCAGCAGAAGAGGACUGGCCUGGUCAGCAGGCAUCCUCAAGCCACAGCAGCAGCUCCUGGUCACUGCCCAACUGGCCAGCACAAGGGUAAAGUUGCAAGUUGCACCACUCAUGCAAGGCUCAGCAGGGGGCACCCUGUGGGAAGAUGUGACUAACGUGUUUGAAGGGAAGGCUGUAUCUUGGAAUGCUGAUGAGUCCCAGGGAGAGAGUUUAGAGGAUGGAGUGGUGCCCGGCCACCUGACAGCAGAAUGGCAGGAACUGUUAAACUUCAAGGACACACCUGUGGACUUCACCCAGGAGGAGUGGGGGCUCCUGACCCCUGCUCACUGGAAUCUAUGCCAGGAGGAGAUGCUGGAGAACUACUAGAACCUGAUGUCACUGGCAGGAUAUCAACUUUCCAAGGCUAAUGAGAUUCCCCUGUUGGAGAAAGGAGAACCACGAGUGAGAGAGAAGUCCUAGAAGAUCCCAGAACAGACGUGAGAAGUAAAACAGAAACCAGGAAGUCAAUUGCAAAGAAUGACAUAUCCCAGAAACACUUAUAUCAUGGCAUCCAGGAACACUUAUAUCAUGGCAUUAUGAUGGAAAGAGGAGGAUGGAACUCAGGACCUUGUGCUUUCGAGCCAGGCAGUGGAACCACUGUGCAAAAUCUCCGGCCCAUCCCUAAGAUGAAUGUAAUCACUAUGUACCUCAAACAUGUACUAAUAGAAAAGAAUACUGUCUUAAGAUUUAUUUGAGGGACUGUUCUAGUCAGGGUUUUGGCAAAGGAAUACAUUUA